GAUGAACGCUGGCGGCGUGCCUAAUACAUGCAAGUCGAGCGAACAGACGAGGAGCUUGCUCCUCUGACGUUAGCGGCGGACGGGUGAGUAACACGUGGAUAACCUACCUAUAAGACUGGGAUAACUUCGGGAAACCGGAGCUAAUAACGGAUAAUAUAUUGAACCGCAUGGUUCAAUAGUGAAAGACGGUUUUGCUGUCACUUAUAGAUGGAUCCGCGCCGCAUUAGCUAGUUGGUAAGGUAACGGCUUACCAAGGCAACGAUGCGUAGCCGACCUGAGAGGGUGAUCGGCCACACUGGAACUGAGACACGGUCCAGACUCCUACGGGAGGCAGCAGUAGGGAAUCUUGCGCAAUGGGCGAAAGCCUGACGGAGCAACGCCGCGUGAGUGAUGAAGGUCUUCGGAUCGUAAAACUCUGUUAUUAGGGAAGAACAAAUGUGUAAGUAACCAUGCACGUCUUGACGGUACCUAAUCAGAAAGCCACGGCUAACUACGUG
rnacentral:rRNA from 1 species